AUACAGUGAGGCCCGCGGCCACACCCUUCAUCUGACCGUGCCCCCCAUUGAACUCAGGAUUUACUUCUGAGGAGACAUGGAGUGCACCGUGAAAACCUUUUGAGAAAUUACUAAAGAGUGAUAGCAAGAAGAAUGAGAAUGUAAGUAUGUUUUUCAUUUUUAUUAUGAAGAUCCUGCCCAGCUUGGUGUUAGUCCUUAGUAUUACCGGUAAAUCCAACUCCAAACUGAAUAGUAGUUAGUGACAGGGACAAUUUUUGCCCCAUGCAUCUAUAAAAGACUAAGAUUGCAAAGCUAUACAUUUUUAAAUAAAGGAGAAACAGCAAAGAGAACAAGAGCAAGGAAGAAAAAAUAGACUGCCUUGGGAAUCGUAAAGAAGCUGUGAUGUUCCUAGCAGCCGUAAUUGCAGCAAUUAGAAGGAACCAAAGAAAAGGAACCAAAGAAAAGGAUGCCCAAGAGGCAUGAGGCUUCUCUGCUUGAGAAGGUACAGACUGUUCCUAGACGUUUCCAGGAUGUAUGCUGAGCAGACACAGAUCUGUUUGCAUAUCUGUUUGUGCGCCUGCAGACACAGACUUUUACCUCUGAUUUACCACAAAACUUAGAACGAUCCACUUGCCAGAUGAUUCAAGUGGAGCAGCUAUAUACCUUUCUCUCAUUCAUUUAUAUCCUGCUUCUAAGCCCAGACUGAUUCACAAAGUGGUUUAACAUUUAAAGACCCCACUGAAGGUUUUGUAUAAAUGGGAACCGUUAUAAUAUCUUGAAUUGGCCAGAUUCAAAGGGUUGUUUUUGUUUUGUUUGCUUCAAGAGAUGGUUUUGGCAGCAGUUUUAUCUGCUUGUCUGGCUAUUGUUUUACUCUGGUGAUCUAUCAAAGGCCAAGGAAAUGUUCUGCAGUUAAUCUCUCUAACCAGAACACAAAAUUUGUAUUGUUUUCCUCAAGGAAGUACUGAUUGUACGUGACUCUACCCCCCACAGCUUCCCAUUUCUAUGUUCAACUUUCUCAUACAUCCUCUAGGGAGCCUUUUGAGAACAACCAACCACAUUGCUAAUAUUUCCCAAUGCCUGCCUUUUCGGUUCACCAUAAAUUACACAAUAUGUUCCCACCCAAUAUUGUUCUCCACUUCUCAGUUCCCCAAGCAUUAAAUUUCAGAAGCAGCCUUGGUUUUCUUAGGAGACCGAAGUGUUGGGAGAUUAGCACAUGUAGUGUUGAUGAGCAUGAUGUUCAAGUGACUCCGCUCCUCCCUGCAAAACUAUCAAUAGACAGUAUCUUUGAGACUUUCAAGCAACUGUACCUUGAGAUAUGGGUCCUUCCACAGAUGCUUCAUACUCAAAUACUCCAUUUCCCAAGGAUCCACAGGGUGAAUGUCAUCAUCUCUGAUAGCAGGGGAGAGGAGGCAAGAAAAAUGUGAGGGAGAUAGUGAAAGAUACAGGAAACUGAAUGCAGAUUUCCAAAAAAAACAGCAAGGAGAGACAAGAGGGCCUUCUUAAACGAGCAAUGCAAAGAAAUAGAGGAAAACAAUAGAAUGGGGGAAACCAGAGAUCUGUUCAAGAAAAUUGGAGAUAUGAAAGGAACAUUUUGUGCAAAGAUUACCAUACAAAGAUUACCAGGACAAAAGUGGUAAGGACCUAACAGAAGCAGAAGACAUCAAGAAGAGGUGGCAAGAGUACACAGAGGAAUUAUACCAGAAAGAUAUGGAGGUCUCGCACACCCCAGACAGAUAUAGUGAGGCCCGGGGCCACACCCUUCGUCUGACCGUGCACCCCAUUGAACUCAGAAUUUACUUCUGAGGAGACAUGGAGUGCACCGUGAAAACCUUUUGAGAAAUUACUAGAGUGAUGACAAGAAGAAUGAGAAUGUAAGUACGUUUUUCAUUUUUAUUAUGAUAUGCCUUGGGAAUUGUAAAGAAGCUGUGAUGUUCCUAGCAGCCGUAAUUGCAGCAAAAAGGAACCAAAGAAAAGGAUGCCCAGGAGACAUGAGGUUUCUCUGCUUGAGAAGGUACAGACUGUUCCUAGAAGUUUCCAUGAUGUAUGCUGAGCAGACACAGAUCUGUUUGCAUGUUUGUGCACCUGCAGACACAGACUCUUACCUCUGAUUUACCACAAAAAUUAGAAUGAUCCACUUGCCUUCUCUUCUCCAGGUUAAACAUACCCAGCUCCCUAAGCCGUUCCUCAUAAGGCAUUGUUUCCAGGCCUUUGACCAUUUUGGUUGCCCUCUUCUGGACUCUUCUAGCAAGCCUGAGUUCAUUCUGUGCUUUAGCUUUUCUGACUUUGUCUCUACACGUGCUGGCUAUGUUUGAAUUCCUUUCUGGUGAUUUCCCCUUUUCCAUUUUUUGUACAUAUCCCUUUUAAAUCUUAACUCAGUUAAAAGUUCUUUAGAUAGCCACCCUGGCUUCUUUAGGCACCUUCCAUGUUUCCGUCACAUUGGUAUUGCCUGAAGUUGUGCUUUUAAUAUCUCCCUUUUAAAAACUCCCAACCAUCAUGAACUCCCUUCCCUUUUAGUAUUUCUGUCCAUGGGAUCUCAACCAGCGUUUCCCUAAGUUUUCUGAAGUUGGCUUUCUUAAAGUCUAGGAUGUGAGUCUUAGUAUGCUUGGUUACUCCUUUCCGCUGAAUAAUAAACUCCAGAAGAGCAUGGUCACUCCCACCUAAUGAUCCUGCCACUUCUACCCCACUAACCAGGUCAUCACCAUUGGUUAGGACCAGAUCUAAAAUGGCUGAUCCUCUUGUUGCUUCCCCCACUUUCUGGACAAUGGAAUUGUCUGCAAGACCAGUGAGGAAUCUGUUCGACCUUAUGCUCUUGGCUGAGUUUGACAUCCAAAAAAUAUCAGGAUAGUUGAAAUCCCCCAUUACUACUAUCUCACUUCCUUUUGAAUGCUAGACCAUCAGUUCCAGGAAGGCAUCAUCUGUGUCCUCAGUUCGGCUUGGGGAUCUAUAGGAAACUCCCACAAUGAGAUUACUGUUAUUUUUCUCUCCCUUAAUUUUGACCCAGAUACUCUCAAUACACAGGCCUGGAGCUGCUGGACCUUGUCUUCUAGUAGGGCAACCAACUUGCAAUUGCUGCAGGUGUAGCUGCCUACAUCAUGCUGAGCUGUUGGCAAUGGCUUCCUGUUUCUGUCAUUAUGCUUUAAACAAAAAGUCUCUUGGUCCUCCUGGACUAGCCACCACUAUUUUCAGAGUCCAUCUAUCUGCUGGUGUGUUUUUGUUUUCAUAAAGUCUGAACCCUGAAGAGCUUGACUCUCUUCCUCUCCCUAUCUCACAUGCACACACACUUUUCUGCAUUCCUGACAGAUAGGAAUCAAAAUUCAUGAUAAUCCACACAACAUGAAAUUCAAUCAGGCAAGAGAAAACAAAGCUUCACAUGAAAGAUUACAAUUUAUUUCUAAAUUUAUUGAGCAGCUGUUCGGGGCAGGGGAUACAGAACUGAUACAAUGUAGGUUUUUUUGGUGAUCUUUCAGGCCACCAAGUUUUCAAUUCAGUUUAUUUUUAGGAAUUAUGCUUCCAGGCUGUCUAAAACACAGCCACUCUUUAUAAAUUUGUGCACGUAUUCAGUAUUUUGUUCUUAGAUCCCAAGAUUGUGUUAAAAUUCUUAUGGAAGUUAACAGCACCAAGAAAUUUAAACAGCCUGAGAAGAGACUGUUUGGCCCUGCAAAUUUCAUAUGUAGAUUCUCUCUCUGUAUAAUAUAUCUAUUUGUGUGCAUGUAUUUCCUUGUACAGAUAGAAACACUUUAGUCUUAAUUUUAUACAUCAUAUUGAUUGUUGAAAAGCACUUAAGGAGCCUACAUUGAAAUCCAAAAGAAAACUUAACUGUUAUGAAUAAAUAGACCGUCAACACACAAAAGCGAGGUCCUUUAACACAGGACAGGUUGGCAUAGGGAACCUCAUGGCCCGUCAGGUGUUUUGGUCUACAACUCCAAUCCUGCCAUUGGCAAUGCUGGUCGGGGAAAAUGAGAGUCUAACAAGUGACAAAAUCUCUGCUCUAGACAAGCCUGUUUACAUUGGGG